AAAGACCCACCCAUAAUUUUGAUGAUGUUAGUUUGGGGCCGAAUGGUGGAUGAUGUUUCUUUGUAUGUUACUUUUCUUGACGUUCUGUUAUUGUUGUUACUUUUCUUUUGCGAUGUUUUUUUCUCUUUUUCCCAUUUUUUUGGUGUUCCUUUCUUUAUCAUCCAUUUUUUAUGUUCUUUGGUCUGGAUGAGCCUCUUUCUCCCCAGAAAAGACUCAUCCAUAAUUUUGGAGAUGUUAGGGCCUGAAGGUGGAUGAUCUGUGUUUUUCAUUUUCUUUUCUUGAUGUUUUGUUACUAUAUUUUCCUUUUUCUGGUGUUCCUUUUUAUUUUCCUUUUCAUUGGUGUUCCCAUCACGUGGAUUGUCUACGACAUCUAACGAGCACCACAAGCCCCGGUUUAUUGUUCGGAGUUUGCUCUCCUAGGCAGACUGCCUACCACGGCUGACGAGCUCCACCUGCCCGGGUUUAUCGUUCGGAGUUUGCUCUCCUAGGCAGAUUGCCUACCACGGCUGACGAGCUCCACCUGCCCGGGUUUAUUGUUCGGAGUUUGCUCUCCUAGGUGUAUUACCUAUGGCGGCUCACGAGCCCAACCUGCCCGGGUUUAUUGUUCAGAGUUUGCUCUCCUAGGUGAAUUGCCUACCACGGCUAACGAACCUCACCUGCCCGGGCUUGUAAUCGGAGUUUGCUCUCCUAGGUGAACUGCUUUCGCUAACGACCUCCACCUGCCCGGGUUUGUAAUCGGAGUUUGCUCUCCUAGAUGAAUUGCUUUCGCUAACGACCUCCACCUGCCCGGGUUUGUAAUCGGAGUUUGCUCUCCUAGAUGAACUGCUUUCGCUAACGAGCUCCACCUGCCCGGGUUUAUUGUUCGGAGUUUGCUCUCCUAGGUGUAUUGACUAUGACGGCUCACGAGCCCAACCUGCCCGGGUUUAUUGUUCGGAGUUUGCUCUCCUAGGUGUAUUACCUAUGACGGCUCACGAGCCCAACCUGCCCGGGUUUAUUGUUCGGAGUUUGCUCUCCUAGGUGAAUUGCCUACCACGGCUAACGAACCUCACCUGCCCGGGUUUGUUGUUCGGAGUUUGCUCUCCUAGGCAGAUUGCCUACCACGGCUAACGAGCCCCACCUGCCCGGCGUUGUAGCCGAAAGAUCUCCGGCACCUCCGUCGGGGUCCCGAUGGACGCCGAUGCGCCCUGCCGGGAGCCCUCCAGUCCUGCCAUGCUCGCCUGGGAGACCUUGGGCUCGCUGGGGCUCCACCGCCCCGCCGAUUCGAAUAGGGCGGAUGCAAGAACUCGCUUCUUAAAACUACCAGACUGGAUUAU